rnacentral:tRNA from 1 species
GCCCGGCUAGCUCAGUCGGUAGAGCAUGGGACUCUUAAUCCCAGGGUUGUGGGUUCGUGCCCUGUCCCGCGCC